rnacentral:rRNA from 1 species
GACGGUAACGGAAGCAGCUUGCUGCUUUGCUGACGAGUGGCGGACGGGUGAGUAAUGUCUGGGAAACUGCCUGAUGGAGGGGGAUAACUACUGGAAACGGUGGCUAAUACCGCAUAACGUCGCAAGACCAAAGAGGGGGACCUUCGGGCCUCUUGCCAUCAGAUGUGCCCAGAUGGGAUUAGCUUGUUGGUGAGGUAACGGCUCACCAAGGCGACGAUCCCUAGCUGGUCUGAGAGGAUGACCAGCCACACUGGAACUGAGACACGGUCCAGACUCCUACGGGAGGCAGCAGUGGGGAAUAUUGCACAAUGGGCGCAAGCCUGAUGCAGCCAUGCCGCGUGUAUGAAGAAGGCCUUCGGGUUGUAAAGUACUUUCAGCGGGGAGGAAGGUGUUGCGGUUAAUAACCGCAGCAAUUGACGUUACCCGCAGAAGAAGCACCGGCUAACUCCGUGCCAGCAGCCGCGGUAAUACGGAGGGUGCAAGCGUUAAUCGGAAUUACUGGGCGUAAAGCGCACGCAGGCGGUCUGUCAAGUCGGAUGUGAAAUCCCCGGGCUCAACCUGGGAACUGCAUUCGAAACUGGCAGGCUUGAGUCUUGUAGAGGGGGGUAGAAUUCCAGGUGUAGCGGUGAAAUGCGUAGAGAUCUGGAGGAAUACCGGUGGCGAAGGCGGCCCCCUGGACAAAGACUGACGCUCANGUGCGAAAGCGUGGGGAGCANACAGGAUUAGAUACCCUGGUAGUCCACGCCGUAAACGAUGUCUACUUGGA